UACGGAAGGCAGCAGUGGGGAAUAUUGCACAAUGGGCGCAAGCCUGAUGCAGCCAUGCCGCGUGUAUGAAGAAGGCCUUCGGGUUGUAAAGUACUUUCAGUCGUGAGGAAGGUGUUAAGGUUAAUAACCUUAGCAAUUGACGUUAGCGACAGAAGAAGCACCGGCUAACUCCGUGCCAGCAGCCGCGGUAAUACGGAGGGUGCGAGCGUUAAUCGGAAUUACUGGGCGUAAAGGGCACGCAGGCGGUUAAUUAAGUUGGAUGUGAAAUCCCCGGGCUUAACCUGGGAAUGGCAUUCAAGACUGGUUAGCUAGAGUCUUGUAGAGGGGGUAGAAUUCCAUGUGUAGCGGUGAAAUGCGUAGAGAUGUGGAGGAAUACCGGUGGCGAAGGCGGCCCCUGGACAAAGACUGACGCUCAUGUGCGAAAGCGUGGAGAGCAAACAGGAUUUAGAUACC
rnacentral:rRNA from 1 species